rnacentral:rRNA from 1 species
AGCUAAGUGGCGAACGGGUGAGUAAUGUAUAGGUAACAUGCCCUUUAGAGGGGGAUAACAGUUGGAAACGGCUGCUAAUACCCCAUACUCCUUAAUUGCUUAAUGUGAAUAAGGGAAAUGCUUUUGUGCUAAAGGAUUGGCCUGUAUGGUAUCAGUUAGUUGGUAAGGUAAUGGCUUACCAAGACAAUGACACCUAGCUGGUUUGAGAGAAUGAACAGCCACACUGGAACUGAGACACGGUCCAGACUCCUACGGGAGGCAGCAGUGGGGAAUAUUGCACAAUGGAGGAAACUCUGAUGCAGCAACGCCGCGUGGAGGAUGACGCAUUUAGGUGUGUAAACUCCUUUGAUAUGAGAAGAAAACUGACGGUAUCAUAUGAAUAAGCACCGGCUAACUCCGUGCCAGCAGCCGCGGUAAUACGGAGGGUGUAAGCGUUACUCGGAAUUACUGGGCGUAAAGCGUACGUAGGCUGUUUAGUAAGUCAGGGGUGAAAUCCUACAGCUCAACUGUAGAACUGCUCUUGAAACUACUAGACUAGAAUCAGGGAGAGGCAGAUGGAAUUAGUGGUGUAGGGGUAAAAUCCGUAGAGAUCACUAGGAAUACCAAUUGCGAAGGCGAUCUGCUGGAACUGAAUUGACGCUAAGGUACGAAAGCGUGGGGAGCAGACAGGAUUAGAUACCCUGGUAGUCCACGCCGUAAACGAUGAAUGUUAGUCGUUGUGAUGCUAGACAUUGCAGUGAUGCACCUAACGGAUUAAACAUUCCGCCUGGGGAGUACGGUCGCAAGAUUAAAACUCAAAGGAAUAGACGGGGACCCGCACAAGCGGUGGAGCAUGAGGUUUAAUUCGAAAAUACGCGAAGAACCUUACCUGGUCUUGACAUCCUAUAAAUUUUUUAGAGAUAAAGAAGUGCUAGUUUACUAGAAUAUAGUGACAGGUGCUGCACGGCUGUCGUCAGCUCGUGUCGUGAGAUGUUGGGUUAAGUCCCGCAACGAGCGCAACCCUUGUCUUUAGUUGCUAACAGUUAGGCUGAGAACUCUAAAGAGACUGCCUGGGUAACCAGGAGGAAGGUGAGGACGACGUCAAGUCAUCAUGGCCCUUAUGACCAGGGCUACACACGUGCUACAAUGGCUGGUACAAUGAGACGUAAUAUCGCGAGGUGGAGCAAAUCUAUAAAACCAGUCCCAGUUCGGAUUGUAGUCUGCAACUCGACUACAUGAAGUUGGAAUCGCUAGUAAUCGUAGAUCAGCAAUGCUACGGUGAAUACGUUCCCGGGUCUUGUACUCACCGCCCGUCACACCAUGGGAGUUGAUUUCACCCGAUGCCGGGAUACUAAGAUAGUUACCGUUCACGGUGGGAUCAGCGACUGGGGUGAAGUCGGAACAAGGUA